rnacentral:rRNA from 1 species
CCUACGGGAGACAGCAGUGGGGAAUAUUGCACAAUGGGGGGAACCCUGAUGCAGCGACGCCGCGUGAGUGAAGAAGUAUUUCGGUAUGUAAAGCUCUAUCAGCAGGGAAGAAAAUGACGGUACCUGACUAAGAAGCCCCGGCUAACUACGUGCCAGCAGCCGCGGUAAUACGUAGGGGGCAAGCGUUAUCCGGAUUUACUGGGUGUAAAGGGAGCGUAGACGGUUAUGCAAGUCUGAAGUGAAAGCCCAAGGCUCAACCAUGGGACUGCAUUGGAAACUGUAAAACUGGAGUGCAGGAGAGGUAGGCGGAAUUCCUGGUGUAGCGGUGAAAUGCGUAGAUAUUAGGAGGAAAACCAGUGGCGAAGGCAGCCUGCUGGACUGCAACGGACGUUGAGGCCCGAAAGAGUGGGGAGCAAACAGGAUUAGAUACCCUAGUAGUC